rnacentral:rRNA from 1 species
AGAGUUUGAUUCUGGCUCAGAACGAACGCUGGCGGCGCGUUUAAGCAUGCAAGUCGAGCGGCAAGGGCCUUCGGGCCCCUAGAGCGGCGGACGGGUGAGUAACACGUGGACAAUCUGCCCCCCGGCCCGGGAUAGCCCAGGGAAACCUGGAUUAAUACCGGAUGAGACGGGACCCGCGAUGGCGGGACCCGGGAAAGGCGCUGCGGCGCCGCCGGGGGAUGAGUCUGCGUCCCAUUAGCUAGACGGCGGGGUAACGGCCCACCGUGGCGACGAUGGGUAGCCGGCCUGAGAGGGUGGACGGCCACAUUGGAACUGAGACACGGUCCAGACUCCUACGGGAGGCAGCAGCUAAGAAUCUUCCGCAAUGGGCGAAAGCCUGACGGAGCCGACGCCGCGUGAACGAAGAAGGCCGUGAGGUUGUAAAGUUCUUUUCGGGAGGGGGAACAACCGUGGCAGGGAAUGGCCGCGGGAUGACGUGAAUCCCGGAAUAAGCCCCGGCUAACUACGUGCCAGCAGCCGC